UAGUUUAUAAUAUUUUCGCUUAGUAAUUCAUUCAAUAGUAUUUUCUAGUUAGAAUUAGAAGUGUUUAAAGUGUAUUCAUUGCAUGUAAAAUAUAUCGGCAUGCGAUGACGUCACAUCCGGUUUCGCCGCGUCUUGUGGGAAAACACCGGUUUGAAAUUAGCGCGAGGGUGGGGGCUUUCCACGAGGCUCACCUGAGCACAAGCAGUUUGCAGGCAUGAGAAAUCACAGUGAGAGCAACGCUGUAAGUUAAUAGAUAAUCGAUAUAUUGAACUAAGAUGUUAAUGCUGAUCCUGUUAGAGGUAACGAUGGUAGAUAAUGUUUAUGCUUUCGUUAGUUAAAGAGUCGCGGAUAGUUUGCAUGGAAGUGUAUUUAAAGUAGUCAAUGGAGCAGGUAAACUCUCCCUGUAUACUGCACCUUAGUGUAAUGUAGUUAUAGUCACCUUUGCAAGUAUUUACACUUGAAAUGUGAUAUUAAGGAAGGAACAAAUACUGUAUCAAUCUUGUAUUGUUUUAUCAACAGUUUUCACCAUAUGUUAAUGUGAAGAGUGAACAGUAAAUGGUUAAUCUUACUGCGAUCUGGUUCUUAUUAACUGUGGUUUAUCCGGACGUUAAAUUCGGCGUUUCGUUACACCCGAAGUAGAACGUGACAGUGAAAAAGCGGCAUUAUCAGGUGUUUCAAGUGCUGCAAUGUCAGCUCAAUCCAGCAUCAAGUCGACGCCGCCCAGCGACAGGAGCAGUAAACCGACAUCAAGUAAGCCCACCCGGGCGUUAUCAGGUGUUCCAAGUGCUGCAAUGUCAGCUCGAUCCGGGAUCAAGUCGAUGGCGCCCAGCGACAAGGGCAGUAGAACGACAUCAAGUAAGUCCGCACAGGCAAGAGCCAAGGCAGAAGCCGCCAAGGUGCGACUGCAUUACGCCAAACAAGAAGCAGUUUUGAAAAUUAAACUGGCUGCCAGAGAAGCCGAAAGGGCCGCCAGAAAGGCAGAAGCCGCCAAGGUGCUACUGAGUUACGCCAGACAAGAAGCAGUUUUGAAAAUGAAACUGGCCACCAGAGAAGCCGAAAUCCAGAAAGAAAGGGCCGCCAGAGAAGCCGAAAGGGCCGCCAGACAAAGAGAAGAGGCUGCCAGAGAAGCCGAAAUCCAGAAAGAAAGGGCCGCCAGACAAAGAGAAGAGGCUGCCAGAGAAGCCGAAAUCCAGAAAGAAAGGGCCGCCAGAGAAGCCGAAAGGGCCGCCAGACAAAGAGAAGAGGCUGCCAGAGAAGCCGAAAUCCAAAGAGAACAGGCCGCCAGAGAAGCCGAAAUCCAGAAAGAAGAGGCCGCCAGAGAAGCCGAAACCCAGUUGGAAAUGGCAAAAAUAUCGACAGAGUUGCAAGUGCUGCAGCUAGAAAGAGAAGAAGAAGCAGCCAUGGCGGAAGCAAAGUACAUAGAAGAAGCUGAGGGGUCGCGUGAUUUGACCGAAGUAAGAUCUACUUUAGAAGGGACCAGACUGGAGCGCACAAGCGACUAUGUACAAUCUCAAAUAGACAGGCAGGCUCGUCUCCCCUCUCCAUACGUAUUCGAUAACUUCCCCAGCUACGAGGAACCUCAGAGAGUCACGAUUGCAUCACAUCCAUACGAGGAAGGAAAUUUACCCUCACGGCUCCGUGAUGAAGUCAAGAAUGAAAGAACCGACAACGCUCCUUCACCCCCACAACAGGACGGCGGGGAGGGAGAGGUUCACUCCAGGACAACAAUUGUCAGCUCGAACUGUACAGAAGUUUGCGGUCAAACUCAGUCAAGCCGUUCUUGUUCCGAGAUCUGCCUCACUGAGGUGUACCCUAAAGAAGCACAACAAGACAUUACCAAGCGUAAAGUAACCGACGAGACGCUAGGUCAGUCAGUUUUCAUUCAAACCGAGGAUGACAACAAACUUGCACAAUCAGCUCAAGAUACCAUUUCUUUAAAAACCAAAGACACCAAGGUCUUCAGAGAUGAAGCAAAUAAUGGGGUUGCCCCAUUGCCUUUCAGAGAACCACGCCAGCGCUCACCAGAUAACAAAGAGCAGGCAGUCAAACGGUUCACGUCCUUACGGAAAACCUGGAAAAGGAAACCUGAGAUACAGCAACGCACCCGAUUGGCCCACGAGGUACUGUGCACCCUAAUGGCACAGGUCACAGCCAUUAUAAACGCACAAUCAUUCCUACCUGUGUCUUCUGACCCAGAAAACCCCUUUAUACUUUCGCCAUCAACGCUCCUUACGCAGAAGGCAGGAGCACCUCCUCCACCAGGAGACUUCUCAGACAAGGAUUUGUACACAAAGCAAUGGAGACAAGUCCAGGCUCUGGCAAAUCAGUUUUGGUCCCGCUGGAGACAAAAAUAUCUACCUUCGUUGCAACAGAGACAAAAGUGGACAGAACCCCGAAGGAAUCUUCAAGUUGAAGACUUAGUCCUGCUCAGGGACAAGCAGAUCACCCGCAACAGCUGGCCAAUGGCCAGAAUCACUGCUACAUUCCCUAGCGAGGAUGGACAUGUCAGGAAGAUCGAAUUGAAGACUACCGACCAAGGCGAUGUGAAAAUUUACCAAAGGCCAGUUACAGAAGUUAUUCUACUUCUACCCAAUGACUGAUUAAGAGACUAAGUUUUGUACUCUGCUCAUUGUGACCUUACGAAGGUCAAGCGGGGAGUGUGCUGUCUUUACGACAGUUAUUUAGUUUAUAAUAUUUUCGCUUAGUAAUUCAUUCAAUAGUAUUUUCUAGUUAGAAUUAGAAGUGUUUAAAGUGUAUUCAUUGCAUGUAAAAUAUAUCGGCAUGCGAUGACGUCACAUCCGGUUUCGCCGCGUCUUGUGGGAAAACACCGGUUUGAAAUUAGCGCGAGGGUGGGGGCUUUCCACGAGGCUCACCUGAGCACAAGCAGUUUGCAGGCAUGAGAAAUCACAGUGAGAGCAACGCUUUUUCACCAUAUGUUAAUGUGAAGAGUGAACAGUAAAUGGUUAAUCUUACUGCGAUCUGGUUCUUAUUAACUGUGGUUUAUCCGGACGUUAAAUUCGGCGUUUCGUUACACCCGAAGUAGAACGUGACAGGUUCCAGAUAUUGAAUUU